UCACAACCCAUCUGGUUGGAAACGUCCUGCAGUGCCGCCCGAGCCGCAGGAACCGGAGCCAAUUACAAGUUUAUAUAAUAGAGUCAGUCUCCCCGGGCCUCCCCUCUCCGCCCCACCCCUGCCGGCUUUGGGGAUGGGGGAGGAAACGCUUUCCGUGAAAUACAGGCUGGAUCUAGGACGGAGGAUGCCUUUUCUGGAUUGACAACUAGGGGCCAGUCCUGAGUGUGAGAAACUCCUGGGGUCCUGUUUUGGGAUCCGGACACCUCGGGCGCCGCGCAGGCCUCCUUGUGCCUCGGGAGCGGCCCCGCCUACGGAACGGGACCUGGAAGGGAGGUGUCCGGGUCGAGCGUUCGCGCUGCUCCCCGCCGCACGGUGUGAGCUCGCCGGGUUUAUGUAACGCCUGCCCUUCGCGGAGGACCGUGUCAUGUCCGAAUCGCGGAGGACGGAGGAGGCGGGGGCCUGGGCCGCGACGCCCGCCCACGUGACCGUCAGAUGACUGGGGUCUAAGUUUGCACGAGCUCCUUUACCGUAACGCUGAAGGCUCCUCAUCAACAUCGGCUCUUAGUCAUCCCCGAGUGACAUUUGAUAUGAGCAACAGCUCAGGACGGGGAAAUGGCAACGCGGAUGCUGAUGGAGACGAGGAACGGCUGCUGCGACCGCCUCUGAUUUGGGCUGGAACGGGAGUUUAUGCGGAGUCAAGGAAACCCACCGCGAAGGGUGCCAGGGAAGACCAGGGCACUUUUCUAGACAAAGAAUCUUAGAUUCUUUGGGGCUAGAUGCAGAGAGUCCGGGAGAAACUGUUCACCGGGUGCCAGGCAGGCGGCUGACCACGCAAGCCACGCUUCAGAUUUGUGGGUUGGUUUUAGAAGUCACAUGAGGUCUGCCUGGACGCCCCUCCCGAUCACGUCAAUUAUCUGUCACAACUUCUCUGUGCGCCCCAGGGACCAGCCCCAUGCCCCCAGCGGGGGAGUUGGUUACAGCUGCAGAAUCCCGGCCCCACCCCGCCUCCAGAGCACGAGCCUGCGCUAGAAGGAUAUCACCAGGGGAUGGGGGGGAAUGCGAGGGGGGCGGGGAGGUGGUCACGGAUGCAGAGGCUGUCCUGGCUGCUGAGGCAAAAAGCCCGUCCCAAGCCCUGCAUGGGCUCCUACUGCACUUCAGGAUUUGGGGGAAUGCAGAAUCGUGGUCUUUGAGUUUUCAUUAAUUCAAUAAAGAUUUCUCAAAAGCCUAAAUUCUAGACCCAAGACAGUGGGAAUUAAACAGGGCUGAAUAUGACGCUAUUGGCUAUACCAGGACCACGCCUGAGCAUUGCAUGCACGCUCCAGCUAUGCAUAACUUAUUUAUUUUAAAAGAAGGAAGGAAGAGAGGGAGGGAAACAAGGUGUUUCUUAAGAGUAGAGGAGGGGAGAGGCAACUUGUUGCUUUCACUGGCAACAGUUAACUCCAUAAGCAAUUUCCUCACUUAAAAGAAAAACAAAUGAAGUAGAGUGGUAGGCUUUUGAAAGGAGGAGCAGAGAGCUCCGGUGAGUGGAAACCUAGCUUUUAUUCACCUUAGG
rnacentral:lncRNA from 1 species